UAGUUUCAGUUAUGCAAGAUGAGUAAGUUCUAGAAAAUCCACUCUACACUAUAGUGCAUAUAGUUAAUAAUACUGUUCUGCAUAUUCCAAAACUUGUUAAGAAUGUAGAUCUUGUAUUAAAUGUUCUAAUCACAAAAAAGAGGGGAGGAGGAGAUGUUUAGAGGUGAUAGUUAUGUUUAUGGCAGUGUUUAUUGUGGUGACAGUUUCAUGGCCGUAUACUUACUUUCAAACUCAUCCAGGUAAAUAUGUACAGCUUUCUUUGUAUAUCAAGCAUACUGAAUUUAAAAAUAUUGUUUAAAAGGACACUGAUAUUACUAAUAACAGUUUGGCACACAGUUGUGAGAUUUUGGUGCUUUGUUACAUUGCUGCUGCCUGAAAUCUGUUGGCAAGUCAAAUUUGUCUUCCUCCACUUAUUUAAUUUCUUUGUUGUAGCUUUGGACUGUUCGGGUAUGUUUACACCUUCCACAAUACGGUUAGAUAAAAGUGAGGGCACGCUGGAUGAUUGCUACCACUGGAUUCUCUUUAAAAAAGAAAAGCAACCCCAGAACAUAGGCCAUUUUUUGUUUUGGGUGUUUUUUUUUCCAUACAGAGAGCUGAGACAGGCUUAUGUGUGAAUGUUAAAUUUAAGGAUAAUGAUCAUUGUGUCUGUCCAUAAGUAAGCAUUUUGGGAGAUCCAAAAUAAAACUGCAGUCAUUGAUAUUCAUUUCUUCUUUCUUUCAUUCAGAUGUAUUGCCUGCCUGUGCCUUGUAAUGUGUUAGAGGCUAAGGACAAAAGCAAUGAGGCAGGGAAUCUGCUCUCAAGAUGGUGACAGACUUGUAGCUGAGUAUGCAUGAUUCACUACGAUGGGUACAGUAAUAGCACACAGCAGCCCACAUGAAAGGAGCGCAUUGCCAUGCCAGGGGCCCGCGAGGAGCUUAAAGAGGAGACCUCAGACAGUAAAAGUCAUAGAGAUGAUUAAUUUUGUUAAUGGCUCCAGGAUGGACUCUAUUACUAUACUAUAACUGUAAUACCAGGCCAUCUGAACAGAAUUGUUUAUUUGUCUUAUAUUAUGAAUGUCUGUGAUUCUUUUUUUUUUAAACGCUUCACGAAUUUUUGUGUCAUCCUUGCGCAGGGGCCAUGCUAAUCUUCUCUGUGUCGUUCCGAUUCUGGUGUAUGUGCUGCCGAAGUGAGCACUGAAUGUCUGAUUCUUGGCAGUGUAUAUUCCUGAUGUGCUCUUAGCAAAUGUCAAGAACUUCACUGGGCUCAAUCACAUACGUCAUGGGAGGAUGAUGACCAUCAAACAAGAGGUUUCUGGAACUCUCUCCCAGUAACUCAUUCCGCCUAUUCCCAUCUCACCAGUCAUCAGGUUGGAAACCCUAAAUUGGAUGAACUAGUCUAUUCCAUUUCUGAUAUUUAUUAGGAAUCUGUGGAUCAGGAAUUGGACUGGAUUCAGCUGGUGGUCCUGCUUCAUAUAACUUUGGCUGGGCUCACUCAUGGGACUGUGUUCAGCUGGGAGUUUGGUUGGUGCUGGAGUGUUCAAGGUGUCUUCAGGCCUCUCUCCACUGGUCUCCAGCAGAGCAAGGAAACUUCUUACAUGGCAGCUGACUUCCAAGAUGGAAGACCAGCCUUGGGAAUUACAUAUCACUUCUGUCACAUUUCAUUGGUCAAAAUAGCUCACAGAGCCAGCACAGAUUCAAAGACAGAGGAAACAUACACCACUUCUUAUUGGGGGAAUGGCAAGGUCACGAUGCAGAAGAGCAUGUGGGAGGGGUGAUAUCAUUGCAGCAAUCUUUGGAACCAUGAACUACUGUACAGACCUGUUUUAUGUUAGCUCUUAAUCCACUAUAAACCAUAGUUGUGGGCAGUAGUAACGAAUCUAGUAUUAGUUUAUUUGUUUUCUCUCUGUGUCUGUCUGCUUUUUACUAAUCAGUACCUCAGCUCUAAAGGAGGUUUUGAACUAUAAUCCUGAGUUUCAUGAGUGUCCAUCAGUAUUUUCAGUUCCAAGGCACAGGAAGUGAUUCUGGCUAGCUUUAGCAGAAGGGAAUUUUUGUUGGUUUACCAGUUAGUUCAUAGAAGAUAGGAAGGUUGGAGAACUAGACUCAGAACAUGGACAGAACCUAAGGAAGACUGGGUGGAAGGCAUAUCCACAGUGACUCCAUCAUGACAUUCUGGGCGGGGCACCACUGCUGGCACUGCACACACUGCACAGUGGACACGGCUGCCAUGGGGCUCUUACUGCCACCAUGCCUGUGCCAAAGGCUUUGAUUCUUUCUCUUAUGGCUCCAAGUCCUAAGAACAAUCAAUUGCCCAGUCUAUUUGCUCCCUCAUUGACCAGGAAGUGGGGAGAGGGUCCUUUACACUUCAGAGGUUGGGGCUGAGGGUCAAUAAAUUGUCCUGAUCUGACCUCAACCCCUAUUCACUCUGCUGUAGCCUCAAUGCAAAACACCAAGCAUCCUACUGCCUCAGGGCAUUUGUACAUGCUAUUUUCACAUCUAAAGUGCUCUUUCCCAAAUGUCUGCAUGACUCUCUCUCACCUUAUUCAAAUCUUUAUACAAACAUCAUUUUCUCAUAAGGCCUUCCAAUAGCUAUUCUAUCUAAAAUUGUAAGGCUUUACCCCACACUUCCUAUCCCUUAUCCCUGCUUUUUUUUUUACUUUUUAGGUCUUAACUUUAUCUAACAUAGUGUCUGUAUAUAUUUUCUUUCCCCCUAGGAUAUAAGCUCCACGGGGGCAAGAAUUUUAGUCUGCUUUGUUCAAUAUUGUGUCCCCAGCAUCUAGAACAGAGGCUGGAAAGUAGUAAGUGUUCAAUAAAUAUGUCUUCCUUAAAAUGAAUGUAGAGCCAGUAUCUACUCGAUCCCUUUGAAAUCCCUUUGGAAC